rnacentral:rRNA from 1 species
GACGAACGCUGGCGGCGUGCCUAAUCCAUGCAAGUUGAGCGAAGAAGUCGGGUGCUUGCCCCAAUUUGCAGCGCAGCGCACGUGUGAGUAACGCGCGGGCACACUGCCUUUGCGCGGGGGAUAACCUUUGGACACAGAUGCUACAACCGCAUCAUCACUUCACACACAAGCUUUAAGCUUGAAAGACGCCAUUGCAUCACUUAUAGCUGCACCCGCGUUGUAUUAGCUAGCUGGUGAGGUAAAGGCUCACCAAGGCGACGAUACAUAGCCGCCCUGAGAGGGUGCACGGCCACAGUGGAACUGAGACACGGCCCAGACUCCUGCGGGGGGCAGCAGUAGGGAACCUUCGGCCAUAGGCGAAAGUCUGACCGAGCCACGCCGCGUGCGUGGAGAAGGCUCUCGGGUCGUGAAGAUCGGUUGAUAGCGAAGAAGGGGGGGGGGACUGGAAAGCUCAUCAAGUGACGGUAACUACGCAGAGAGGGACGGCUAACUACGUG